rnacentral:misc_RNA from 1 species
CUCGAUUUCAUGUAUUCCAUUUUUGGAAGUCUUUGUGUUCAAGAAACGGCCACCAGUUCCCCUUGGUCGUCGCAUUGCAUGAAGAUGGCGUGAAAGGUGCAUGUAAGGCUUGCGUUUUCUUGUUGACUUAUUCUCAAGCAGUACAGCCUUUGCACGGGUUUUUCGACGCCUAAUGAUUCCAUGGUAUUGCUUAGGAUUUACAAAUAUCGGUCCAUCAUCUGUUGUAAUGUUCAUUGGCAGCAUAAUUCGUCCUGAUAUUUGAGGUCCAUAAGUUGAGAAUACUCCAUAACAGUGAUCCAUAUGAGGAUAUUUUGCACAGAUCAUUGGCUGUCCGAAUCCCAGGUCAAUAUGAGAACGAUAUUCUGGCAAAGUUGUUUGCAGAGAGAUGGCUGUCUGAGGAGAUUUUUGUCCUUCAUCUGAAGUUUUGCAGUCACCUGGAAAGAUUGUGAAUUGAGUGGUAUUCCCUUUAUCUAGCCCUUUCUCAGUGCAGCGACUGGCUUGCUUCAUGGCAGUGAGUUGGUCUCCACCAGUUGAUGAUUGUUCUAUUGAAGAAGCCUUGACUAGCCCACAGGAUUCGCCAUAAACAGAUUGAGAUCCAUAAGUAGUCCACCAAGGCACUGAUGGCACCG